UACGUAGGGUGCGAGCGUUAAUCGGAAUUACUGGGCGUAAAGCGUGCGCAGGCGGUUUUGUAAGCCGGAUGUGAAAUCCCCGGGCUUAACCUGGGAAUGGCAUUCGGGACUGCAAGGCUGGAGUGCGGCAGAUGAGACUGGAAUUCCUGGUGUAGCAGUGAAAUGCGUAGAUAUCAGGAGGAACACCGAUGGCGAAGGCAGGUCUCUGGGCCGUAACUGACGCUGAGGAGCGAAAGCGUGGGGAGCGAACAGG
rnacentral:rRNA from 1 species